rfam:Ricinus communis cultivar Hale ctg_1100012350989, whole genome shotgun sequence.
GAGAGGAUGAUGAAAUAAAUCAGACGGAUUCCCACUGAUUUCACUAAAUAUGAUUUUACUCAACCAGCUACUUCUGACUCUC